GAGUUUGAUCUUGGCUCAGGAUGAACGCUGGCGGCGUGCUUAACACAUGCAAGUCGAACGAAGCGCCUUAUUUGAUUUUCUUCGGAACUGAAGAUUUGGUGACUGAGUGGCGGACGGGUGAGUAACGCGUGGGUAACCUGCCCUGUACAGGGGGAUAACAAUCAGAAAUGACUGCUAAUACCGCAUAAGACCACAGCACCGCAUGGUGCAGGGGUAAAAACUCCGGUGGUACAGGAUGGACCCGCGUCUGAUUAGCUGGUUGGUGAGGUAACGGCUCACCAAGGCGACGAUCAGUAGCCGGCUUGAGAGAGUGAACGGCCACAUUGGGACUGAGACACGGCCCAAACUCCUACGGGAGGCAGCAGUGGGGAAUAUUGCACAAUGGGGGAAACCCUGAUGCAGCAACGCCGCGUGAGUGAAGAAGUAUUUCGGUAUGUAAAGCUCUAUCAGCAGGGAAGAAAGUGACGGUACCUGACUAAGAGCCCCGGCUAACUACGUGCCAGCCG
rnacentral:rRNA from 1 species